AGACAGACAUGUUUCUUUCACUCUUAUUUGUAUGGCCCCAGAAACGUUUGCCUAUGAUCUAUAGAAUAUAUGUGAUGAUUCGUCUACAAAGGGAAGCAGAUGGACAGCUGAAUGUUAAACAGUGUGAUUCUCCAGUCCAUCAAGAGCAAACUUCUGAGAGCGCCGCACUACAAAGUAGAUGAGAUACCCACUUCCAGCCAAGCAGCAGAGGACCAGGAAGUUGGCCAGAACCCGCAGGAAACGAGUCAGAUGGAUGUUGUCGUCUUUCCGACUUUCUUGCUCUUCUAAAAUGGCCUCCUUGAUAGGGAGAACAAAGAACAGAAGAUAAAUAAAUUUGUGACAUUAAGGGCAAGGCAAGGACCAAUAUUAAUAUACAAACACUGGAGCAGAACAUUCAGAAAAUAUGGCAAACAAG